AACGCGAAGAACCUUACCUGGGCUUGAACCGCACAGGACCAGCUUCAGAAAUGAGGCCUUCCCGCAAGGGACCUGUGUAGAGGUGCUGCAUGGCUGUCGUCAGCUCGUGCCGUGAGGUGUUGGGUUAAGUCCCGCAACGAGCGCAACCCUUACUCAUAGUUGCUACCCGCAAGGGAGAACUCUAUGAGGACUGCUCCGGAUAACGGAGAGGAAGGUGGGGAUGAGGUCAAGUCAGCAUGGCCUUUAUGUCCAGGGCUACACACGUGUUACAAUGCGCGCCACAAAGCGUCGCGAACCCGCGAGGGGGAGCGUAAUCGGAAAAGCCGGCCUCAGUUCGGAUUGGAGUCUGCAACUCGACUCCAUGAAGCUGGAAUCGCUAGUAAUCGUGGAUCAGCAUGCCACGGUGAAUACGUUCCCGGGCCUUGGUACACACCGUAGAGAC
rnacentral:rRNA from 1 species